AACGAACGCUGGCGGCAUGCCUAACACAUGCAAGUCGAACGAGACCUCCGUGUCUAGUUGCGCUCCGCUGCUUAACGCCUGGGAACCUGCACUUAGGUUCGGAAUCCCUCCCCUUAAGGGGUCCUAAGACCGGUUAAUCUCUUCGGACCAAAGAUGUCUGGCUUUGGGAUGGGCCCGCGUUGGAUUAGCUAGUUGGUAGGGUAAAAGCCUACCAAGGCCACGAUCCAUAGCUGGUCUGUUAGGAUGAUAAUCCACACUGGCACUGCGACACGGCCCAGACUCCGACGGGAGGCAGCAGUGGGGAAUAUUGGACGAGGGGCGAAAGCCUGAUACAGCAAUGCCGCGUGAGUGAUGAAGGCCUUAGGGUUGUAAAGCUCUUUUACACGGGAUGAUAAUGACAGUACCGGGAGAAUAAGCUCCGGCUAACUCCGUG
rnacentral:rRNA from 1 species